rnacentral:rRNA from 1 species
AUUGAACGCUGGCGGCAUGCCUUACACAUGCAAGUCGAACGGCAGCAUGAUCUAGCUUGCUAGAUUGAUGGCGAGUGGCGAACGGGUGAGUAAUACAUCGGAACGUGCCCUGUAGUGGGGGAUAACUAGUCGAAAGAUUAGCUAAUACCGCAUACGACCUGAGGGUGAAAGUGGGGGACCGCAAGGCCUCAUGCUAUAGGAGCGGCCGAUGUCUGAUUAGCUAGUUGGUGGGGUAAAGGCCCACCAAGGCGACGAUCAGUAGCUGGUCUGAGAGGACGAUCAGCCACACUGGGACUGAGACACGGCCCAGACUCCUACGGGAGGCAGCAGUGGGGAAUUUUGGACAAUGGGGGCAACCCUGAUCCAGCAAUGCCGCGUGUGUGAAGAGGGCCUUCGGGUUGUAAAGCACUUUUGUCCGGAAAGAAAUCGCACUUACUAAUAUUAGGUGUGGAUGACGGUACCGGAAGAAUAAGGACCGGCUAACUACGUG